rnacentral:lncRNA from 1 species
UUACCUAGCUAGGAAUCGUCAAUUUCGGCUUUUCUUGCACUUCGUCAUUUAAUCUAUUUAUUUUACGCAUAGCCGAUUAGAUCUGUUCCUAGUGUUGCUACUGUAGCGUUGUUUAGAUUACUUCAGUGGUUUUCUUAAUCAACGUUGCCUUGUAAUCGGUCGCAUUGUAGCCGAUUUCCACAUUACAGCAAAUCGGCCGAAUCGCUGAUAAGCUUUCUCGAGAUCGGAACCUUAGCCGAUCGCAA